CUGGAGAAAGCCCAGUCCACGGCUGCGGUGGGUGGGGCCUAAAGGGUGCCAGAGGCGGGGCUGCGAGGGGCGGGGCCUGGGUCCAGCAUGCGGCGAAUCUGGGUGACGCUAUUUCCGUUCGGCUUGUAGGUUCCGCCUGUCUGAGCAGUUUCUUGACGGUAGAGGUGUCUCAGUCGUCUUUGCCUGGAGGAUUGAGCUCCAAGUGUGUGAUGCAAUUUUAUUAGAGAACGCUUGCGGAGAGCAUGCGUUGCACCGGGACAGUACUAAGCACUUGAUAAUCACUUUGUACUACAGCUGUCUGAACUAUUAUUUCACCUCACGGUCGAGGAAACCCGGGUUUCGAGACGUAGAUUAAUUAAGAACGAACUCAGCCUUGCCUCCUGGGUGUGGGUCUCCACGUUCGCGGUCUAGGAGAGGCCGCAUUUCUCCCACCCAACCUCCAGCCCGCGACAUCGGGAAAGAAGGAAAUCCACCUUGUGGAGUACUAACUACCAGAACAUAGGUCCUGACCUAAUCAGCUGGGAGGGCCAGAAUCUAUGAAAGACAUACUGAAAUCUGUCCGGAUGAAAUGACACGAUGUCUGGGUGAUAAUCCAGCUAGAGGGCAGGCAAAGAGCGACUGGAAAUACGGAAGGAACAAGGCCAGCCAUGAGUUGACAGCUGUUGAAGCUGGAUAAUGGGCACAGAAGAGUUCCUUAUGCUAUUCUCUCUACGUUUGUAUAUUUUGAAAUUUUUCCUAAUAGAAAAUUUCAGAACCAGGUUCUUUCUUUCAAAUUAGAAUGCAAGCCCAUGCUAUUAUUACCAUGGAUAUCUGCAUCAAUUCACUUUCUUUCAGAGGAAUUAAACUGAGUAUAAAUGUCAGUCUAUUUAUCAGAAUUCUACUGGUAUUUACCCUGGGUAAGAGAGUCUUUCCCUGACUGGAAACUAGACUCCACUCUCAUGAUGACCACCAAUAUUUAGGAGAAUAGAUUGUAAAUAUAAUGAACUGGUAGAGCUUGGGAAACCCUGGUGGUGUAGUGGUUAUAUGCUACGGCUGCUAACCAAGAGGCCGGCAGUUCAAAUCCACCAGGCACUCCUUGGAAACUCUGUGGGGCACUUCUACUCUGUCCUAUAGGGUCGCUAUGAGUCGGAAUCAACUCAAUGGCAGUGGGUUUGGUUUUUCUGGUACAGCUUGAGCUUGACUCCAUAGCAAGCGUAUGUAACAUGGCCACGGAUCAAUCACAACAGAGAUGAAUACCAAAAGGAGAGAUCAGUAGAAGGAGAUAGGUCAACACUGACCCUCCUCUCUUCCCAGCCCCUUCCCUCCCAGCUCCUUCUACUCAGGUCUACCUGGGACCUCUCUUCAUGUCCCUUGCGCAUCUUCACUAAUAAAAGUCUCAUACCUUCCAGCCUAUACUCAAGGCUGUAUCCUCAUCAAGAUUUUUACCUAUUCUGCCCUCUGGCAGUUAGCCUGUUACUGCUUCUGUGGCACUGAUCUCAGGGUGUGAGAAUCAACCAUUUAUACAUCUGUUUCCUCUACUAGAUGAUAGUGUCUUUAAGCCAAAGGUUGUCUUAUUAGAAGAUAAGCCCUGGAGUCAGAUUACCUGGGUUCAAAUCCCCAUUUACCAGCUGUGUUCCCUGGACAAGCUAUUUUAUGUCUAAACUGCCUUAUCUGUAAAAUGCAAAAAUAAUCAUGCUUAUAGGUUAUGAAUACUAAAUGUGAUAUAUAUCUAUAUAUAUACUAAAUGUGAUAUAUGUAUAAUACUAAAUACUAUAUAUGUGUGUGUGUGUAUAUAUAUAGUUUAGAGUCACUCCUGGCAACAGAGAAGAGCUUAAUGCAUAAUGUUGUUGUUUGCUGCCAUUGAAAGGGCCCCUGGCUUAUGACAACCCCAUACACAACAGAACAAAAUGCUACCUGGCCCUGCACCAUCCACAUGAUCUCUUGUGGAUUGGACCACUGUGAUCCAUAACGUGUUCACUGGCUCAUUUUUGGAAGUCGAUCGCCAGGCCUUUCUUCCUAGUCCAUCUUCAUCUGGAAGCUCUGCUGAAACCUGUUCAGCAUCAUAACAACACGCAAGCCUCCAAUGACAGACAGGUGGUAGCUGUACAUGAGAUGCAUUGGCUAAGAAUUAAACCCAGGUCUUUUUUCUCCCUCAUGGAAGGUGAGAGCUCUACCAAUGAACGACCAAUGCCUCCACUAAUUAAUGUUAGCUAAUUUUUUUUUUUUUUUUAAUAUU